rnacentral:rRNA from 1 species
UACGUAGGGUGCAAGCGUUAAUCGGAAUUACUGGGCGUAAAGCGUGCGCAGGCGGUUUUGUAAGUCUGUCGUGAAAGCCCCGGGCUCAACCUGGGAAUUGCGAUGGAGACUGCAAGGCUUGAAUCUGGCAGAGGGGGGUAGAAUUCGACGUGUAGCAGUGAAAUGCGUAGAGAUGUGGAGGAACACCGAUGGCGAAGGCAGCCCCCUGGGUCAAGAUUGACGCUCAUGCACGAAAGCGUGGGGAGCAAACAGG